rnacentral:miRNA from 1 species
UUCACAUGUGGGUUAAGUCCUG